rnacentral:lncRNA from 1 species
AGAAUCAGGAAGUGCACAGAAACAAGAAGCUCGGUGCACACUGGGAUCAGGCAAGCAUCUGGGAGAAGACUGUAGCAAGACUGGAUCCUGAGAAAUAUACAGAGUUCAGAGGCUCCAUGGCUACACUUUGGGCAUGUAUGUCAUUACAGGAAUGAAAAAAAGAUGAUGGCCAAAUGCUGUAUUAAAAUCCCAUUAGAAAUGCCGGGAGAAAUUUAUGGCCCCAAUCUCUUUUAUCUGACAGUUCCCAUGUGAUCCAUCAGGCUCUGAACAUGAAUUUUAAUGGGCUCAGAACCACUUCUCUACCCUGAGGUCACAGGCUGUCAGAGUGAAUCUUCCACAAACUGAUUGGAACCUGAAGAAUUUGCUCUGUCAAGAGAGAGUGUUUCAAUUGAAUAUUGCAACUGAAGACAUUCACUCUGCGUUGAUCACCUAUGGAGUGAUCAAAUUUCAACCCUUUGAAGUUUCCUAAAUGAAAGAGGCACUCUGAAUUCAAAGGCUGUUUGAAUGAACUGACUGCUUCAGCACUGUCUUGUAGAUAUAGUCCAUUCAAAUAAAAGACAAAUAUCUGACUGAAUUUUGUUAGCACGUUAAGACAUGUAUUAUAAAAAGGUUUAAGAAGAAAAUAAUGGCCACAAUUCUUCAGAAAACAUGUGAACUAAUGUGACAAAACACUGUGGUGUUGCAAACUCAAGUGCUGCUCUGGCCAAGUCACCUCGCUGAAAUCUCCACUUCCACUUGUGCAACCUACCAAGCCACUCUCUACACAGCUGCCAGAGUGAUUACAAAAACAACGCGGGAUUAUGCUACCCCUGCUUAUCUAAAAUUUGUCAAAAUGCCCGUUACACUUUGAAUAAAAUACAGAUUCCUCUCA